rnacentral:lncRNA from 1 species
AUAUAGCACUGACCCACAAUCUUUUUCACUCAAGAGGAUUCCUCCUUCCUCGGAGUUCUGUCAUAAUACUACUAAGAAUAAUACUGUUACUCUUAAUACAUUUUCUUCUUAUAUGAAAAAGUUAAAACACGCUCAUCCCCAUGCUACACUAGAAGAAAUAGAAAAACAACUUUUUACAAUAUUUGCUGACCCUUCUACGUUACCUACAACAUCAGAAGAAACUGUCCAAUCUGGUAAUCCUCUUCUUGAAGAAUUUAACCAAAGGCCCGAAAACUGACGACCCGGCCUAUUGGAAAAUCUCAUCUUUAUCCUUU